ACCUCAUCCUCUCGUAGCCCAGCUGCUACAGCCAGCCGAACAGGCCCUAUAUAUGCAGGUGCAGGCGCCGCCAGACGAUUGAGCUUCCACGGCCAGCAACAGAGCUUUCAGUUCCCGACCUUUCUUCGGCGACCAGAUCGGCGACCGGCUGCUUCGUCUCAAAGGUUCGUGCUCACAUCUCACCCAACUUUAUGGAUUCAGAGCAUAAGCUUUGCAUGGAUGGAGCUCUUCUUGAGCAGCCCAUGAAUCAGUGUGCACCAAAGAAUCAUGAUAAUCGUUGGCCCUCGUUGCUUACUAUGACUGGCUUUGCGUUCUUGACCUUCAACUCGGUCAUGGCUUUGUAUAGAUCAAAUGGAGACAUGGGGGCCAUUUGCUUCGUGGUCUUCUCCUACGUGGAUCUCGUUGUGCUCUUCUACUUAUUGCGCCAAUUUGAGAUGACACCACUGUUAUCACCACGUCGUGAGCAUAUCAAGAUGGCAGUGUGGCUGACGACUACAAUGCUCACCGUUGCCUUCUCAUACAAGGUGGCGAAAAUCAUGCCAUUCCCGGUGCAGGUGUUGGUGUGGGCCAUGGCCAGUAUUACCGUGCUUGGUGGCUUCUAUGCCUUCUUCCUGCACCGGGAGGGAACCAAGGCAUAAUUGAGGUGAUGGCAGUGGGAUUGAGAAACUUUCGAUUAUCACGCUUGUGCUUCUCUCUUCGUUGGUGUUCCUCUGUUUUUUGUGUCUGCACCACUAAGGUUCUGUGACUACACCCUAGUGGUUACUAUGGUUAGUGUCCACGAAAUAAUCAUGAGCCUGCAUCCUGUUUUCUCUUAGUCUUCUUCGGUGGAGCCUGCUCUGUAAUAUUAUUAGCACCGGGUGCCCUUUGCCGUUUGAGCCUUGAAGAAGAAGAGUUCCACUGCAUCACAUCAUUAAGUCAUAGUAUUUGCUUGCAUAUGUAAGAGCAAAAGCCUAGUAUUCGGCUUCUGCAAUGUAAUAAAUAAUCGUCGAACAAUCUGAGAGCUUUCUAAAUGGAAUUUCCCUUUUGUUUGCUGUUGCUCCUUGGACGUCCUGACCGGCCAAUUUUGCAAGUUGCAAACUGAAGAAUGUCAGUUUGCAUGCAUCGACUGGAUGUAAUUUUAGGCCGCCCCCUGGUUUGCUCCAAAGAUCAAGUCGACCAUUGACUCUCUUGUUACCUGGUUUGAGUGCGAUAUCAGUGGGAGAUUACAUGCAGUGAAUUCGCCUUCAGAGUGACACGGGGGAAAAUUUACAGAACCGGCACAACCGGCCUGUGUCAUCGUCGUCCUUGAGCAGCAAGACGGUGUAAUCAUCUGGGGGAAGAUGACAGCUCUGCCCUGACCAAGGAUACACCUAACAUGGAGAUGGCUGGUACAUAAGGCGUCAGCAAUUAGAUGCAGUUGUUGCCAUUGCUGCCAUGGGUAGGAUACACCUAACAUGGAGAUGGCUGGUACAUAAGGCGCCAGCAAUUAGAUGCAGUGGUCGCCAUUGCUGCCAUGGGUAGGAUACACCUAACAUGGAGAUGGCUGGUACAUAAUUAAGGCGCCAGUAAUUACAUGCAGUGGUCGCCAUUGCUGCCAUGGGUUGGAAACUGGAAGAGAAUCAAAACAAGUGGAAUGCCAAAAAUGAGAGAGAACAGAGAGAGGCCCUGUACAGACGCCUGACUCAACCAUGGAGUCGGAAGGCCCAUGAACC